rnacentral:rRNA from 1 species
AAAGGUAGCAUAAUCAUUUGUCCUUUCAUUGAGGACUGGUAUGAACGAAAGGUUGAAAUUUUGGUUGUCUCCUUUAUUGUGUUGGAAUUUGCUGUUUUUGUGAAGAAGCAAGAGUUGAUAAAAAAGGACAAGAAGACCCUAUUAAGCUUUAUUUUUGGUGUGUGUUGAUUUUGAGUUAGGGGCUAAUAUCAAGGCUUUCUAAGAGAAUUUGGUUGGGGUGACUAAAGAAGCGUUAUUAUCUUCUUUGUUGUUUUUAACACUUAGUUUAAUGAAGAACCAGGGGUUUUGGUUGUAAGAAUUAGUUACUAUAGGGAUAACAGCGUAAUCUUUUCAUAAAGUUCUUAUUGAAGAAAGGGUUUGCGACCUCGAUGUUGAC